CCAAAAUUAGGUGAUGAUUGCUAUAAAUAAGAGUGGUAGUGAAGAAUCAAUAUGCAAGUAAAUCAAUAAAUUCAAUCAUCUCAAAAUAAAUAGAAAUAUGAAAGCCUUUGUCAUCAUAAUAUGUAUUUUCUUGGCUGCCAUAAUUUUUUCUCCUUAUUCGACCAUAGCCGCUCGUCAGCUAAAUUCUCCUGGCACUAACAGAGUAGGCGUCGUCGUCAAAGAUAGUGAACCUAUUGGAUACAAAGAUCUUCCCUUUACAUGCUACCCUGGCCGGCCGAAUUGCAACUAACCGGCAGAAACCUUGCCGUAGCAUUUACAUUCCCUUGAAGAUGACACAUUCUGCUUUGGAAUAAUUGAUAUCAUUAUGUCUAUAUAUAAAAAUGUAUUCAUUAAGUUUGAUAAUUAUGUUUAAGUGGAAAUAUAAAUAUCUAUUGAGAAUAAGCUGAAAAUUUGACUUGUGUGGAUGGACUUUUAAGCUGUAACGUGUGCAAUGGUGGAAUCAAGAUUUUCUUUUGUUAAGGCUAAA